rfam:Triticum aestivum genome assembly, contig: Triticum_aestivum_CS42_TGACv1_scaffold_212229_3AS
GUAAUACUCCUUCCGUUCCAAAUUAGUUGACUUGAAUUUGUCUAAAUACGGAUGUAUCUAUACUUGUUUAGUGUCUAGAUAAAUAUGAGUCAAGUAAUUUGGAACGGAGGGAGUAGUUA